CCAAACAUAUAUAACCACACUUAUACACCAUACACCAAAGUGCAUUUAUUAUAAAUAGUGCACUUAUAUUUCAGAUAUACUAAGAUAUUUGAUUUUAAAAAUUUUUCUGAAAUGAUUUUUUUUCUUGGAAAAUAACUAAUUGAUUAAAUAUUACGUACAAUAAUCAUACACCCUCACACAGAUAAUAUCCACAUACAUCAAUUCAUACUCGAUCAUAUAGUUAUAUAUAAUAUAUAUAAGACUUGUCUUCGAGUCCUUAGAUUAAUUAGGAAUGCAGUAUUUCCAGUGGCUACAUGUAACCUACAUAUUUUGCCACAUCCAGGGUGGGCUCAUAUAUAUACUUACCAGAUAUAUUUUGUUCCGUCAUCUGACUCAACCAAAUUCAAAACCUCCCAACUAUUGAUCCACGAUCUCACACACUGACCCAGAUUCGGGCAGCCCUCACGUCAACUAAACAAUGAGUUCACACAUCUGUGAUCCAGCACAGUACACACCAGCACACCCUAAAUAUGAGCUAAUGCUAACACUCUUGACCUUCCUGGCUCAAUCGGUCUUCUUAUCUUUAAGUUACCAAAUAAACACAAGGACUUUUUGACUUAAAACCUAUAGAAUACUAACAUUUACAAUGCGUGUGUUUGUCUAACAGAAGUGUUCGUUCUUUGAGCCAUUUAUUGGCUACUGAAAUUUCGAAGAAUUAGAAAUUGAAAAUAUGUACUAAGUGAAGAUUUGAUUGAUUGCAUCAAAAUUCUACAAAAAAUGAAUAAUUGAAA